rnacentral:tRNA from 3 species
CGGGGCGUAGCGCAGUUUGGUAGCGCACAUGGUUUGGGACCAUGGGGUCGGGGGUUCAAAUCCCUCCGCCCCGACCA